AUGUUGCUGAAGCAUGCUGCAUUCAAAUGUUGCUUAAAAUUGUUCAAUGUAUCGAAGCAGCGCCACUGUGCCAUUGCUACGCAUUUAGCUACAUGAUGGCUAACAUACGUCUGAAGAAACCAUACGAUUCAAGUGAAAAAAUUAUAAAACUUGUUAUAUGUGGAGUGGCAAUGGUGGAGUGGUUAUAUGUGGCAGAGUUGUGUGAGAGAAGGAAACGGGACGAGCAAGAAAAGAAGAGGAGUUUCCGGUACAAAAUAGAGGAGGCCGCACGUGCCCUGAAAAAAAAUUAGAAAAAUUUCGCGAUCGUGGAGUCGAGAAUCCCUCCACGGCAUCUGUGGCAGGAGGCAUCAACUGCAGCAGGAGCGGCGGACAUCGCAGCAGCAGACCGGUACUGGCCAGGCCGGAAAACCUGGUGCGAGAACUGCCAGCGAAACACCGGCACUAAGGAAUCCAGCGGAGCACCGACUGGAGACACGUUUUUGCCACCACACACCGACACCCCCAGGGAAAGGAAUCCGAGCUUCAAAGCAAAAAUACACACACACACACACAUGAUUCAAAUCACCCACCUUCAUCCACACCCACCCAAAAUUUCGCACGCCCCCUUCCGACCCACAAAGGAGGAAAAUGUGUGGUAUCCAAAAUUUUAAAUGUACGAGACAACCAAAUACGCAGAAUCAUUGAGAAUGACUAUAUAUUCUAGAUGGCAGAAUCUGGAUCAGAUCGGAUCAUUAUUAUAACCAAAAGGAACAAAUCAAUUUGCAGUGGCUCUCUCUCUGACUCUCUGUCGUUCAAUGUUAGUUAGUCUAGUCAUUCUGCCGGAGGAAAGUCAUACUGAAUCCGCCUUUGGUAUCACUACUCGUUUUUGAACUGAGGAGAGAAUUAUGAUAAAUUCAACGGGUAUGGAGACAAACUGCCUGGCAAAUUCGCAAGCUUAUUACGAUUUUAGCGCUCUUCGGCUAACGGUACACAAGAGCCCAUUAGCAGUACCAACGAGGAGCAGAGCAAAGCAAAUCGGAACCGAGCGGAGUGGAGGGUUUUGGCAUUUUGUAUACCUUUUUGUCAUCAACUGCACAGAUUCCGAUUAAUAGUGGUUCACAAAGAUAUCGGAACUUGUAUUUAAUUCAGUGGUUUGAUUAUAUGAACAACUUGAUAGUAUUUGACAACUCUUUUAAUGUUGGUGGUGUUUAAGCAAUGGAUUCGCAAGGAUUGCACUGAUCCAACGCGGGCUUAUGUGCGUAUUGCUUUUUGACAUCCCACCACGGUGCCGCAAAAAACACAUAAGUUGCCUUUCGUUCGAAAUUCGACCAAAACGGAGGAACGGGAAGCAGCUCUAUGCCUACACAUUGCCGAACACACGGCGACUGCGACAAGUGAUCAUUUCUCAAUGUUGAGUGUGGAGCAGUCUUCAGCUUGCAAAGUGCACCUACAUUAUUAAAAAUGUACUCGCACUGCAUUUCAUGGACGGCUUUCGAACUGACAUCGGAAACUCAGCUUUUAUUCUUCUGUUGGACGAGUCUACUGACAUUAGAGUGACAUUAUAAUUAUGUACAUAUAUUUGGUAACUUUAAUAUUCGGGUAUUUUUUUUCUCAACUUCAAUAAAUGAAGAAAACGAAUGAAAUUCAUAAACCUAAAAAAAUAAAUAAAUUAAUCUAAAUGGUAGAAUAAAGCUUGCAGUAUUAAAUUUUCGGAAUGGUAUAUUUUAUAUUA